rnacentral:tRNA from 1 species
CCCUCGAUAGCUCAGUUGGUAGAGCGGAGGACUGUAGAUGUUACAACGGUGAUCCUUAGGUCGUUGGUUCAAAUCCGGCUCGAGGGA